rnacentral:tRNA from 1 species
GCCUGUGUAGCUCAGCUCGGUAGAGCACUUCGUUGGUAACGAAGAGGUCACCGGUUCAAUUCCGGUCGCAGGCUCCA